GAGCAGGAUGGUUGGCAGCGACAGCACCCACAGGAUUCUCUUCAGGUCGUUCUCUGGCAUGGCGAAGACACUACGAUGAUCUGCUGCAGAUAAAGGAGGAACAGAUGAAAAACCUGCAGUACUCAGGACAGGGACCUGGUCUGGCCAGCUCACCCUCUGCAAUCUCGUUGAGUCCGUGCAGGCUGAGGGAGAGGUGGGAGUAGCCUGAGUCGUCCUGGAAUAUUCCGCUGUCGGUCCUAGAGCGCUGGUGUGUCAGCAUGCUGUUCUGCUCGUUCCAGCCAAUCAGGGGCUGCUGCUCUCCGCUGUCCUCCAUGGACUUCGUCAGACAGCCACAGCAGGGGCUGAACUUGCGCAUCAUGUAGCCGUUGAUGCGAAAGUCGAAGCACAGCACGACUAUGUACACCCCGUACACCAGCAACAGGCAUGCUGCGUCAUACCUGGAACAUGGAAGACAGUGGUCGUGGAAAAAGACAAGGGAAGUCCAAAGCCUUAUCUGUGUCUAAUGUCAGUGUGCAGGGAUAGCUGUACUUAUUAUUGAGCUGUAACCCUCUGUGUUCCAUGUCAACUAAACAAACUGCCAGUCUGUGUACCUGAGUGAGCCAAGGCAUCGAAGCCCAGAGCAACUAUUUAUGCCCCUGAUGAAUCUGAGAACAGAAGAGAAUGUUUCAUUCACAAUGUGGCAAGAUGUUUCUCGGAGUGUAAAUGAGAAGGGAAUUUAGUAAGACCCGGUGCGUGAGCAAGGUAUUGCUUUUCCAUUAAAAGACAAAAUAGGCUAUAUAUAUAUAUCGAAACCUAUGGAUUGUUGUUUGUUUGAGGGAAAAGUACAGCAUGAAUGUAUGUCGGCUCUUGGAGUGGUUCAAUAAAACUUGGCCGUGUUAUGAUCUUUAUCAGUACUGAGGAAGUCAGGAACAAAAAGAGAGACUUACCAGUACACCUUGUUAUCUGAGAUAAUGGCAAUCACAGCUGCAACGCUUAUCGCAUAUGCAAUGCAGUCUCGGAACAAAGGCCAGCAGGUAAGCCGUCCAACCUGAGGAGGAGGAUGUUAGCAGAAUUUUAACAUGGGGGAAAGAUGUGAAGAGCAUUUUACAAUUCCUGACCUUGUGGCAUUCCUGGUGGAGGAGAUACAAAAGCACAGAGGCACAUGAUGCAUCAAUCACACUGCCACUGGUUUUGGGUAGUUGUGACACAGCCAUAAAAUCCACUUGUAAACAUAAAUGUCAUAAUGGCUUCGUAUUUACUACCCUGUGAUAGAAUUCCAAAUGAGUCAUGGUGAAGAUGAGAAGAACCAGACAAUAUUUAACACAGGCCCCACUCAUCUCCUUGCUGUUUGGUUGACCCAAUCACACAAAGGCUUGACCCAAAUUUGUAAGUGCGUCCAGCCGACCUUAACAUUACAUACCACAGAGGUAAGGAGACCACAGGCUGCACAAAUACCAAGAAGGUUGUAGACUGCAGAACCCACUAUAGUGCUGAUCCCAAUGUCUCCCUUUGUGACAAACACUCCU